rnacentral:rRNA from 1 species
GUGUCAGCCGCCGCGGUAAUACGUAGGGACCAAGCGUUGUCCGGAAUCAUUGGGCGUAAAGAGCUCGUAGGCGGCUAUCCGCGUCGGAUGUGAAAGCUCAGAGCUCAACUCUGAGAGGCCAUUCGAUACGGGAUAGCUAGAGGUAGGUAGGGGAAAGCGGAAUUCCUGGUGUAGCGGUGAAAUGCGCAGAUAUCAGGAGGAACACCGGUGGCGAAGGCGGCUUUCUGGGCCUUACCUGACGCUGAGGAGCGAAAGCUGGGGGAGCAAACAGGAUUAGAUACCCCAGUAGUCC